rnacentral:lncRNA from 1 species
GUGCCCAGCUUGAUGACACGAAAGUUAAGCAUGACUUCUAAUUUGAUGAUUUGUGUCUACAUAAAGGAUAAAGAGGGGAAAGGUCAGAGACUGGAAGGGCUUGGAUAUGUUCUGGGUGGAUGGAAAAAUUGAAAGAACUGAGUUAUGUAUUCUGAAAAAGAUCAGCUCAUGGAGGACCAAAGUAUCUUUUCUUUUGUGUAAAGAGUAAUGAAGAAGCUAUAACACGACCAGAAUCUUAAGAGGAUGGAGCCAUGAUCCAGGAGAGGUUCCUGUGUGAUUGAAAACAUGAAUAUAUCUGGGCGUAUGAAUCUAUCAAAAGAGUAUUUUAGACAUGAAUUCAAUGUACAAUUUGGUUUUUAAGUGUUAAAAUUAGAGUCCUAAAGGAAAGUGAAAUCUUAAAAGAUGCUAGGCUAUGCCUAAGAACAGAAACACAUGCAGAUUCCAAGAUAGAAGAGGUGAGAGACACACAGAAUGUACCCUAGCCUUGGAGUUGGGAGACCUUUGGUUUUGAAAGUUUCCUGAGCUUGCUGUGUAUCCCAGGAAGGCUUCAUACUGUCUUCCUGCAUCAGCCUCUUCUCCCACCUUGAGUACUGGGAUUACGUUGUUCAUCUUGUUCAGAUUGUAGCUGUCCACUCUCAGGGAUAAAUCAUUUUAGAAUUGGCCUCCCCAUGCUUGAGUGUAACAUGAAAAGAGUUC